rnacentral:rRNA from 1 species
GCUUACGGCCACACCGGCCUGAGUAUGCCUGAUCUCGUCCGAUCUCGGAAGCUAAGCAGGGUCGGGCCCUGGUUAGUACUUGGAUGGGAGACCGCCUGGGAAUACCAGGUGCUGUAAGCU